AGCAGCCGCGGUAAUUCCAGCUCCAAUAGCGUAUAUUAAAGUUGUUGCAGUUAAAAGCUCGUAGUUGAAUUUCGGGAUCAAUAUGUCGGUCGUGCCUUGGUACGUACUGGUAUCAUUGGUCUCUCCUUUCUGACGAACCAUGAUGUCAUUAAUUUGGUGUUAUGGGAAGUUAGGACUGUUACUUUGAAAAAAUUGAGUGUUUAAAGCAGGCUUUAGCUUGAAUACAUUAGCAUGGAAUAAUGAAAUAGGACGUUCGAACCUAUUUUGUUGGUUUCUAGGAUCAACGUAAUGAUUAAUAGGGAUAGUUGGGGGCAUUAGUAUUCAAUUGUCAGAGGUGAAAUUCUUGGAUUUAUUGAAGACUAACUACUGCGAAAGCAUUUGCCAAGGAUGUUUUCAUUAAUCAAGAACGAAAGUUAGGGAUCGAAGACGAUCAGAUACCGUCGUAGUCUUAACCAUAAACUAUGCCGACUAGGGAUCGGAUGAUGUUAAUUUUUAAUGACUCAUUCGGCGCCUUAAC
rnacentral:misc_RNA from 1 species